UACGUAGGGUGCAAGCGUUGUCCGGAAUUAUUGGGCGUAAAGAGCUCGUAGGCGGUUUGUCGCGUCUGCUGUGAAAACUGGAGGCUCAACCUCCAGCCUGCAGUGGGUACGGGCAGACUAGAGUGUGGUAGGGGAGAUUGGAAUUCCUGGUGUAGCGGUGGAAUGCGCAGAUAUCAGGAGGAACACCGGUGGCGAAGGCGGGUCUCUGGGCAGUGAACUGACGCUGAGGAGCGAAAGCGUGGGAG
rnacentral:rRNA from 1 species